UGGGAACAUGGUGGCAUGAGGUAAUC
rnacentral:piRNA from 1 species